GAAUGGGGGCGGCUGGCUGAAAGGGGGUGCCGCGGCGGAAGGAGGUACAGGCGGCGCAAUGCUUUUGAAGUCCCUGCCGGAAGACGCGCACGGACUCACUGGAGCAGCUGGGACGGCACCCUGCACCUUGUAUAGCAACCACCGGCCGAAGCUGUCCCUGCGCUCCAUGCCGAUAGCGGAGGACGUGGACCUGCUGCUGUUGCAGUGAGGCUGGGUGCCAGGAGAGCAAGCUGCAGAGGAUGGUGCGGGGCUAUGUCACCUAGCUGUCCAACAGCAGGAACCAACGGAGUCCAACAGCGGGAACAGCUGUGUUGCAGGGAGAAUGGAACUCUCUCCUGGCAGCAGACACUACACAGAGCAAUAUGGUCUUCCACUUCACCCUGAAGAUAAAGAUACAUUUUUGUUUAAAUGGAGAUAGAAUUUCGAAAACAAUGUGUAACAAGGUGUAAGUCGGCAGAAAAUUGAUAGAAAUCUUGGUAAUGCAUCUGAAUAAUAACAAUGGAUAACACUCUGUUUCUUUAUGGCAUGAAUACAACAGUCUCUUGGGGUAACCAGAUGACCCAUUAGAAUUACUAAAAACGAUCUACAAAAUGUGAGACUAUCAGCACCUAAUUUGCAAUCACUGGAAGGUAUGUGAGUAGUAGCUUGAUGUACAGGGGGAAGACCAUCUAAG